AGGUUCAGGGCCGAAACCCGUAAU
rnacentral:siRNA from 1 species